AGAGUUUGAUCCUGGCUCAGGAUGAACGCUAGCGGCAGGCCUAAUACAUGCAAGUCGAACGGUAAAUAUCUUAGCAAUAGAAUAUGAGAGUGACGUACGGGUGCGUAACACGUAUGCAACCUACCCUUUACAGAUGGAUAGCUCGGGGAAACUCGAAUUAACCCGUCAUAAUAUAAUUUAAUGGCAUCAUUGGAUUAUUAAAACGCAAGUGGUAAAGGAUGGGCAUGCGUCUGAUUAGUUAGUUGGUGCGGGUAACGGCCCACCAAGACGAUGAUCAGUAGGGGAACUGAGAGGUUGAUCCCCCACACUGGCACUGAGAUACGGGCCAGACUCCUACGGGAGGCAGCAGUAGGGAAUAUUGGUCAAUGGAUGGAAGUCUGAACCAGCCAUGCCGCGUGCAGGAAGACGGCCUUCUGGGUUGUAAACUGCUUUUGCCAGGGGCUAAAAAGCUCAUGCGUGGGAAAUGAAAGUACCUGUGAUAGGCCCCG
rnacentral:rRNA from 1 species